AUACUCUGGUUUCUCUUCAGAUUGCAUAAAUCUUUUGGCUUUUACUAAUGAUUUUCAUGGAGAGGAACAAUUCUGAGUCUUUACUCAAUUUUUUGAGGUCUUAUGUUUGCAAGGCU